CUGCGAGUGAAGCGGGAAAAGCUCAGACUGAAAAUCUUCGGAAUUGUAGUCUGGAGAAGUAUGGUCAGCCGAUGAUGAUGAGUGAAGUCUUCUGGAAAGGAGCGCCUUGGAGGGUGACAAUCCCGUACUUUACACAAUCAUCAGCGCUCUGUGAUACGUUCUCUACGAGUCGGGUUGUUUGGGAAUGCAGCUCAAAAUGGGUGGUAAAUUCCAUCUAAAGCUAAAUAUUGGCGAGAGACCGAUAGCGAACAAGUACCGUGAGGGAAAGAUGAAAAGCACUUUGGAAAGAGAGUUAAACAGUACGUGAAAUUGUUAAAAGGGAAACGAUUGAAGUCAGUCGUGUUUAUUGGAUUCAGCCGGUCUUCGGUGUACUUCCUUUAAACGGGUCAACAUCAGUUUUGUUCGGUGGAUAAAGGUAUUAGGAAUGUGGCUUCUUCGGAAGUGUUAUAGCCUAGUAUUGCAUACACUGGAGGAGACUGAGGACUGCAGCUCGCCUUUAUGGCCGGGGUUCGCCCACGUUCGAGCUUAGG
rnacentral:rRNA from 1 species